CAGUCGUGAGGAAGGUGGUGUAGUUAAUAGCUGCAUCAUUUGACGUUAGCGACAGAAGAAAGCACCGGCUAACUCCGUGCCAGCAGCCGCGGUAAUACGGAGGGUGCGAGCGUUAAUCGGAAUUACUGGGCGUAAAGCGCAUGCAGGUGGUUUGUUAAGUCAGAUGUGAAAGACCCGGGGCGUCAACCUCGGAAUAGCAUUUGUAAACUAGGCAGACUAGAGUACUGUAGAGGGGGGUAGGAAUUUCAGGUGUAGCGGUGAAAUGCGUAGAGAUCUGAAGGAAUACCGGUGGCGAAGGCGGCCCCCUCGGACAGAUACUGACACUCAGAUGCGAAAGCGUGGGGAGCAAACAGGAUUAGAUACCCUGGUAG
rnacentral:rRNA from 1 species